rnacentral:rRNA from 1 species
GACAGAGGAUGCAAACGUUGCUCGGAAUUACUGGGCGUAAAGCGCUUGUAGGUGGCUCGGUAAGUCAGGUGUGAAAUCCCGGGGCUCAACCCCGGAAGUGCAUUUGAUACUGCCGGACUUGAGUACUGAAGAGGAGAGUGGAAUUCCCGGUGUAGAGGUGAAAUUCGUAGAUAUCGGGAGGAACACCAGUGGCGAAGGCGACUCUCUGGGCAGAUACUGACACUGAGAAGCGAAAGCGUGGGAAGCAAACAGG